CUCUCCCUUAGUAAAUUUGAUGGCCCCUAAAUCCAUUCCUGUAGUGUCACUCCAGACUGGGGAUGUCCAUGUCUCCAUCUGAGGAAAGACCCUCCCAAGGACCAUCUCUCCUUUCCAGACUGUAAAUCUGUACUGGUGACUACCACGGGCCGGGAUUGGCACACCUUGGGCAGAAUGUGAUGAGCUCAGAUUGAGAGAGGAGAGCCCAUGACUCCCUUCAGAUGAAGAAGCCUGUAUUAGAAUGUGGAAAAGCAGCAGGGGAAGGGAAAAAGUCUGUAAUUUUAAUGGGACUGCAGAGACCACUUUGAAACAUGGAACAUUUCCACGAGAACAAAUAUAAUAGCUUCCACCUGAUGUCAUAGCUGCUUGUUCUCUUUAAGGAUCCAAGCGUGUAGCCCUACUGUUCUGUUGGAACUGUUGUCACCCAGGUCCCCAAUGAUAUUCUCAACUACCACAGUUCAUCGACAUUAUUCAGUUCCUGUCUUCAGCUGAAUGCAGACAAUGAAGACAAGAAUCUAGAGAACAGUAGAGCCACAAGAUAGAAGGAACCCUGGGUCCUCAAAUCACUGGACAGAGGAAAGUGUCAUGCCAACCUGGGACACCUGCCCUGGGUUGUUAGAACUUCUGAUCACAGGCCACACCAGCCAUCACCCUGACACCUGACUCCCCUUUGCCCACUGGAUUACUCUACCUUCACAUCCUUGGCAUCUGGCCAAAGAAUUGAAUCAAAUCAUGGGAUUGGCUAGCCAACUAACAGGACAAGCAUGGGAGUGAGUGCGACCCCAGACAGGGAAGUUUUGAUGAGGAUGAGAUCAUCAGGAAAAGUCUGGCUGAUGAAAGGGUAUAUAGUCAAGGGGACUGCCUGGGUGACAUCAGGUCUUGGGACCUUACUGGAUGGAAUGGGACCUCAGAAGGUAGAACAAAGUGUCGGGAAUCUGGGUCUUGGCCAUAUUAUUGACCAUGAGUGGAAGGACAGGGAGGAUGCUUCAGGCUGGGCCAUCAGAGCACUGUUUGAUUUGGGGCUCUAUGAACCAAGGACUCUGGAAGGUUCCCUGCAGGGCCACUAACAGGCUGAGAUUUCUUUCCAGACUGGAAGCAGAUUGCCAGAGCUUCAGUCCCAUGGCAUAUUUCACUGACAGAUUGGGUGCAAUCUUCCCCAAGAUGGGGGUGUUUCAAAAGCAGAGGAGGAAAAGGAGGCUGGGAGCAGGGACAAGGUGGGGGAAGACAGCUGUCAGCUUCAGUGUGACUUUAGGACAG